UACGGAGGGUGCAAGCGUUAAUCGGAAUUACUGGGCGUAAAGCGCGCGUAGGCGGUGAGCUAAGCAAGAUGUGAAAGCCCUGGGCUUAACCUGGGAACUGCAUUUUGAACUGGCUGACUGGAGUACAGCAGAGGACAGUGGAAUUUCAGGUGUAGCGGUGAAAUGCGUAGAUAUCUGAAGGAACACCAGUGGCGAAGGCGACUGUCUGGGCUGAUACUGACGCUGAGGUGCGAAAGCGUGGGGAGCAAACAGG
rnacentral:misc_RNA from 1 species